ACGGCUCACCAAGGCGACGAUGGGUAGGGGAACUGAGAGGUUGAACCCCCACACUGGUACUGAGACACGGACCAGACUCCUACGGGAGGCAGCAGUGAGGAAUAUUGGUCAAUGGGCGAGAGCCUGAACCAGCCAAGUCGCGUGAAGGAUGACUGUCUUAUGGAUUGUAAACUUCUUUUAUACGGGAAUAACAAGAGUCACGAGUGACUCCCUGCAUGUACCGUAUGAAUAAGCAUCGGCUAACUCCGUGCCAGCAGCCGCGGUAAUACGGAGGAUGCGAGCGUUAUCCGGAUUUAUUGGGUUUAAAGGGUGCGUAGGCGGCCUGUUAAGUCAGCGGUGAAAUCUAGGAGCUUAACUCCUAAAUUGCCAUUGAUACUGGCGGGCUUGAGUGUAGAUGAGGUAGGCGGAAUGCGUGGUGUAGCGGUGGAAUGCAUAGAUAUCACGCAGAACUCCGAUUGCGAAGGCAGCUUACUAAGGUACAACUGACGCUGAAGCACGAAAGCGUGGGUAUCAAACAGGAUUAGAUACCCUGGUAGUCCACGCAGUAAACGAUGAUAACUGGGCGUAUGCGAUAUACAGUAUGCUCCUAAGCGAAAGCGUUAAGUUAUCCA
rnacentral:rRNA from 1 species